AUGAGAACUAGAUGUUAGGGGGCUUAGACCUUUUAGUAUCGCAGCAAACGCGUUAAGUUCUCCGCCUGGGGAGUACGGCCGCAAGGUUAAAACUCAAAUGAAUUGACGGGGGCCCGCACAAGCGGUGGAGCAUGUGGUUUAAUUCGAUGCAACGCGAAGAACCUUACCUACCUUUGAAUCCACGGAAUCUUGCAGAAAUGUGAGAGUGCCUUCGGGAACCGUGAGACAGGUGCUGCAUGGCUGUCGUCAG
rnacentral:rRNA from 1 species